UACAGAGGAGCCAAGCGUUGUCCGGAUUGACUGGGCGUAAAGCGCACGCAGGCGGACGCGCGCGUGGGGUGUGAAAUCUGGCCGCUUAACGGCCAGGCGCCAUCCCAUACGGCGCGACUGGAGUGAUGCAGAGGUCGAUGGAAUUGCCGGUGUAGUGGUGAAAUGCGUAGAGAUCGGCAGGAACACCGGUGGCGAAGGCGGUCUGCUGGGCAGUUGCUGACACUGAUGCGCGACAGCGUGGGGAGCAAACAGG
rnacentral:rRNA from 1 species